UUAAGCUAUAAAGAGCACAGGGCGGAUGCCUAGGCACUGGGAGCCGAAGAAGGACGUGAUAAGCUGCGAAAAGCCGCGGGGAGGAGCAAAUAUCCAUUGAGCCGCGGAUGUCCGAAUGGGGAAACCCACUUGAGCAGACCUCAAGUACCCAUGCGCCAAUCCAUAACGCAUGGGAGGGAACCCGGGGAACUGAAACAUCUAAGUACCCGGAGGAAGAGAAAGAAACAUCGAUUUCCCAAGUAGCGGCGAGCGAACGGGAAAGAGCCCAAACCACGGAAUUUAUUCUGUGGGGUUAGGACUGCAUAAUUGAUUUGCGAUUGAUAGGAGAACGGUCUGGGAAGUCCGGCGAAAAAGCGUGAAAGCCGCGUAUCCGAAAUCGAAAGCAACAUGGCAGGAUCCAGAGUACCACGAGACACGUGAAACCUUGUGGGAAUGAGCGGAGACCACUCCGUAAGGCUAAAUACUACCCAGUGACCGAUAGCGCAUAGUACUGUGAAGGAAAGGUGAAAAGGACCCCGGGAGGGGAGUGAAAGAGAACCUGAAACCCUGUGUUUACAAGCUGUCGAAGCACGUUAGUGCGACGGCGUACUUUUUGUAGAACGGUCCGGCGAGUUAUGAUACGCGGUAAGGUUAAGGACUUAAGGUCCGGAGCCGAAGCGAAAGCGAGUGUUAAGAGCACGAGGAAUCACGUAUCAUAGACCCGAAACCGGGUGAUCUAUCCAUGUCCAGGAUGAAGCUGCCGUAAGAGGUAGUGGAGGUCCGAACACACAUCCGUUGAAAAGGGUGGUGAUGAGGUGUGGAUAGGGGAGAAAUUCCAAUCGAACCCGGAGAUAGCUGGUUCUCCUCGAAAUAGCUUUAGGGCUAGCCCCGUAUUAGUUUAGCGGAGGUAGAGCACUGAAUUCCUAAGGGGGCGUCAAAGCUUACCAAGGGAUAUCAAACUCCGAAUGCCGCAUAAAUGAUGUACGGGAGUCAGACUGCACGAGAUAAGUUGGGCAGUCAAAAGGGAAAGAGCCCAGACCUACAGCUAAGGUCCCAAAGUGUGUGUUAAGUGGAAAAGGAUGUGGGAUUUCAGAGACAACUAGGAUGUUGGCUUAGAAGCAGCCACACAUUCAAAGAGUGCGUAAUAGCUCACUAGUCGAGAGGUCCUGCGCCGAAAAUGUCCGGGGCUGAAACACAACACCGAAGCUUAGGAAUGUAGUAAUACAUUGGUAGAGGAGCAUUCUUAAAGGAAUGAAGCAGUACCGAUAAGGAGCUGUGGACUUUUAAGAAGAGAGAAUGCCGGAAUGAGUAGCGAGAUGGAGGUGGGAAUCCUCCAGGCCGAAUAUCCAAGGUUUCCAGAGUAAAGCUGAUCUGCUCUGGGUAAGUCGGGGCCUAAGGUAAGGCUGAGAAGCGUAGCCGAUGGACAACAGGUUGAGAUUCCUGUACCGCGUAUCAUCAGAACUGUGGGGACACAGAAGGACAGCACAUCCCGGGAAUGGAAAGACCGGGGCAAGCAGGGUAGGAGUUAAGCUGGCAAAUCCGCUUAACAAUCCGAAGCUGUGAUGCGGAGCGAAUUUAAGUAGCGAAGUGUGCGAUUCCGGCUGUCAAGAAAAGCCGCUAUUGUGUGAUACGUGCCCGUACCGUAAACCGACACAGGUAGAUGAGGAGAGAAUCCUAAGGCCGGCGGGAGAAGCAUUGUUAAGGAACUCGGCAAAAUGACCCUGUAACUUCGGGAGAAAGGGUGCCUGGGAAACCAGGCCGCAGAGAAUAGGCUCAAGCAACUGUUUAGCAAAAACACAGGUCUAUGCAAAACCGUAAGGUGAGGUAUAUGGGCUGACGCCUGCCCGGUGCUGGAAGGUUAAGAGGAGGGGUUAGCGCAAGCGAAGCUCUGAAUUGAAGCCCCAGUAAACGGCGGCCGUAACUAUAACGGUCCUAAGGUAGCGAAAUUCCUUGUCGGGUAAGUUCC
rnacentral:rRNA from 1 species